rnacentral:rRNA from 1 species
UACGUAGGUGGCAAGCGUUGUCCGGAUUUACUGGGCGUAAAGAGCGCGCAGGCGGUCGAAUAAGUCGAAUGUGAAAGCCCCCGGCUUAACUGGGGAGGGUCAUUCGAUACUGCUCGACUUGAAGGCAGGAGAGGGUAGUGGAAUUCCCGGUGUAGUGGUGAAAUGCGUAGAUAUCGGGAGGAACACCAGUGGCGAAGGCGGAUCUCUGGGCCUGUUCUGACGCUGAGGCGCGAAAGCUAGGGGAGCGAACAGG